rnacentral:rRNA from 1 species
AAUUGCAGAUGAAUCACGGUGAAAGCCGUAAGCCGCAAGGCAUCUGUGAAGGUGCUGCAUGGUUGUCGUCAGCUCGUGCCGUGAGGUGUCGGCUUAAGUGCCAUAACGAGCGCAACCCUUGUUGUCAGUUACUAACAGGUCAUGCUGAGGACUCUGACAAGACUGCCAUCGUAAGAUGUGAGGAAGGUAGGGAUGACGUCAAAUCAGCACGGCCCUUACGUCCGGGGCUACACACGUGUUACAAUGGGGGGUACAGAGGGCCGCUACCACGCGAGUGGAUGCCAAUCCCAAAAACCUCUCUCAGUUCGGACUGGAGUCUGCAACCCGACUCCACGAAGCUGGAUUCGCUAGUAAUCGCGCAUCAGCCACGGCGCGGUGAAUACGUUCCCGGGCCUUGUACACACCGCCCGUCAAGCCAUGGGAGCCGGGGGUACCUGAAGUGCGUAACCGCGAGGAGCGCCCUAGGGUAAAACUGGUGACUGGGGCUAAGUCGUAACAAGGUAGCCGUACCGG